GACGAACGCUGGCGGCGUGCUUAACACAUGCAAGUCGAACGCUGAAGCUCAGCUUUUGUUGGGUGGAUGAGUGGCGAACGGGUGAGUAACACGUGAGUAACCUGCCCCCUUCUUUGGGAUAACGCCCGAAAACGGGUGCUAAUACUGGAUAUUCACUGGUCUUCGCAUGGGGGUUGGUGGAAAGGGUUUUUCUGGUGGGGGAUGGGCUCGCGGCCUAUCAGCUUGUUGGUGGGGUGAUGGCCUACCAAGGCUUUGACGGGUAGCCGGCCUGAGGGGGUGACCGGUCACAUUGGGACUGAGAUACGGUCCAGACUCCUACGGGAGGCAGCAGUGGGGAAUAUUGCACAAUGGGCGCAAGCCUGAUGCAGCGACGCCGCGUGAGGGAUGGAGGCCUUCGGGUUGUGAACCUCUUUCGCUCAUGGUCAAGCCGCAACAAUGGUUGUGGUGAGGGUAGUGGGUAAAGAAGCGCCGGCUAACUACGUG
rnacentral:rRNA from 1 species